rfam:Felis catus isolate Cinnamon breed Abyssinian chromosome B2, whole genome shotgun sequence.
GCCUGGGUGGCUCAGUUGUUUGAGCAUCUGACUUCGGCUCAGGUCAUGAUCUCGCGAUCUGUGAGUUCGAGCCCCGUGUCGGGCU